UUUUUUUUUUUUUUUUUUUUUUUUUGUUUUUAUUUUUUUUUUUAAACAAAGAAUACAAUCCAGAGAAAAA
rnacentral:ribozyme from 13 species